rnacentral:pre_miRNA from 1 species
CACUAGUAAAGCCUUAGAGAGUAUCUACACUGGUAGUAUUCUUCUUUCUUGGUGGAAAAGUACUUGCCACUGUAGAUACUCCCUAAGGCUUUAACAGGAGG